rnacentral:rRNA from 1 species
UACGUAGGGGGCAAGCGUUGUCCGGAUUUAUUGGGCGUAAAGAGCGUGUAGGCGGUUUGGUAGGUCCGCUGUGAAAACUCGAGGCUCAACCUCGAGACGCCGGUGGAAACCAUCAGACUAGAGUCCGGAAGAGGAUAGUGGAAUUCCUGGUGUAGCGGUGAAAUGCGCAGAUAUCAGGAAGAACACCCGUGGCUAAGGCGGCUCUCUAGUACGGUACUGACGCUGAGACGCGAAAGCGUGGGGAGCGAACAGG